CACAGACAGGAAUGUGUGUGUUUCUGUAGACUUAUCGAUCUGAAGCUCUUUGGAGUCAAAUCAGGAAUUACUGUGUCACUGAAUAGCUGUCUAGCUGUUAUAUUGGAUGGGGUGGCUGGUAUCUUAUUUUAAAUUAGUAUUGGACAAUUAGUUUGAGAUAUUAACCAAGUGGUGCAGGUGUUACUCCUCCAAGUGACUGUGUCAGCCAGUAUACAUGCAGACUGCCAGUGCAUAUUUUUGACUGGUUCCAGCAUCGCGUUCCCUGACAGCACAGACCAUCCUCCCUAAGAAAUAAUGAAUUUCAACCCAGACGAACCUUCUGAAAAAUCUCUGGAGCUUGAGGUCCCAUCCCUGCCAGCCCAGUCUGUCCACAUG